UACGUAGGGGGCAAGCGUUGUCCGGAUUUAUUGGGCGUAAAGAGCGUGUAGGCGGCUUUACAGGUCCGUUGUGAAAACUCGAGGCUCAACCUCGAGACGCCGGUGGAAACCGUAAAGCUAGAGUCCGGAAGAGGAGAGUGGAAUUCCUGGUGUAGCGGUGAAAUGCGCAGAUAUCAGGAAGAACACCCGUGGCGAAGGCGGCUCUCUGGACCAGCACUGACACUGAGGCACGAAAGCGUGGGGAGCAAACAGG
rnacentral:rRNA from 1 species